rnacentral:rRNA from 1 species
UACGUAGGGAGCAAGCAUUGUCCGGAAUCAUUGGGCGUAAAGCGCGCGUAGGUGGCUUCGUAAGUCCGUUGUGAAAGUCAAAGGCUCAACCUUUGAAAGCCGAUGGAUACUGCGGAGCUAGAGUACGGAAGAGGCGAGUGGAAUUCCUGGUGUAGCGGUGGAAUGCGCAGAUAUCAGGAGGAACACCAAUAGCGAAGGCAGCUCGCUGGGACGUUACUGACACUGAGGCGCGAAAGCGUGGGGAGCGAACAGG